rnacentral:rRNA from 1 species
UACAGAGGAGCCAAGCGUUGUCCGGAUUGACUGGGCGUAAAGCGCACGCAGGCGGUUGCGCGCGUGGGGUGUGGAAUCUGGCCGCUUAACGGCCAGGCGCCAUCCCAUACGGCGCGACUGGAGUGAUGCAGAGGUCGAUGGAAUUGCCGGUGUAGUGGUGAAAUGCGUAGAGAUCGGCAGGAACACCCAGGGGGAAACCAGUCGACUGGGCAUCUACUGACGCUGAGGUGCGAGAGCGUAGGGAGCGAACCGG